rnacentral:miRNA from 1 species
UGGAGAGCUGGCAGAGGACCCAGA